rnacentral:rRNA from 1 species
UACGAAGGGGGCGAGCGUUGUUCGGAAUUACUGGGCGUAAAGGGCGCGCAGGCGGCCCUUGAAGUCAGGCGUGAAAGCCCCGGGCUCAACCUGGGAGGUGCGCUUGAUACUCGAGGGCUUGAGUGCGGGAGAGGAGAGUGGAAUUCCCAGUGUAGAGGUGAAAUUCGUAGAUAUUGGGAAGAACACCGGUGGCGAAGGCGGCGACCUGGUCCGAUACUGACGCUGAGGCGCGAAAGCGUGGGGAGCAAACAGG